rnacentral:lncRNA from 1 species
CAAAUAUAUAACUUUUAAACUGUUUCAAUUUCAAAAUGCACAAGAAUGGCGUAUAACGCUUGAAUACCUUGCUUUGGUCUAGUACUGUUUUGAAAAUUUCUUUCGAAGCCGAAACUCAACUCUUUUAUCUUUGAUGCGUUCAAUGUGUCGGAAAUUUGAAAAAAAAUAAGGAGAGAGACGAGAAGUGUCUAUUAGUUUUUUGUGCAGACCAAUGGGAGUAUGUCCUUAGAAUUGAACACUCUAAUAUAACAAUAAGAAGAUAAG